AACACGUAAUCACAACAGGGUGUCGCAGGGGUCGGGUGUGAGCCCGGUCCUCGUGAUGCUUUGCUGGCAUUGCAUGCAUGGUGCUUCUUGCGAGGCACUGUGUGUGUUGUGUUGGUACGAAAACAAACCCCCGGCACGGCAUGUGCCAAGGAAAACAAAACAUAAGAAGGGUGCGUCCCGUGCUGCCCCGUUUGCGGUGUGCGCAUGGGCCGUGUCUUCUCAUUAACCAUAAACGACUCUCGGCAACGGAUAUCUCGGCUCACGCAUCGAUGAAGAACGUAGCAAAAUGCGAUACUUGGUGUGAAUUGCAGAAUCCCGUGAACCAUCGAGUUUUUGAACGCAAGUUGCGCCCGAAGCCAUUCGGCCGAGGGCACGUCUGCCUGGGCGUCACGCAUCGCGUCGCCCCCGACCACGCCUCCCUUAUGGGGACGGGGUUGUGU
rnacentral:misc_RNA from 1 species